rnacentral:rRNA from 1 species
UACGUAUGGAGCAAGCGUUAUCCGGAUUUACUGGGUGUAAAGGGUGCGUAGGUGGCAGUGCAAGUCAGAUGUGAAAGGCCGGGGCUCAACCCCGGAGCUGCAUUUGAAACUGCUCAGCUAGAGUACAGGAGAGGCAGGCGGAAUUCCUAGUGUAGCGGUGAAAUGCGUAGAUAUUAGGAGGAACACCAGUGGCGAAGGCGGCCUGCUGGACUGUUACUGACACUGAGGCACGAAAGCGUGGGGAGCAAACAGG